CUUUGUCUGCUCGCACACAAACAGUUUUCUAGAAGGCUAGAGGCCCAGUGGCCAGCUUUGGGAAGUCCUCUGACUUUGAUUCAUGGGGUGACAAUUGACAGGCAAGGCAGAUGGAUGUCAAAAGAAGGGAAGCUGGGACAGGAAAAAGGGGAAGUGGGAAGUGAGCCUUGAGUGUGAGAGAGAGCCCAAGGGCGGGUGGGUAUAUUCGAGUCAAUGUCUGCCACGCGAGGCCCCGCACCACCAUGCACACUCAACCGUGCCCGUUCACAAAGGCUUCUGGGACACUGAGGAAAUGGUCAGGCAGACUCUUACUCAACAGCAUGACCCCCUCAGAGCUGCGGAUACCCCAAGAAUGAACAGGAAGGGCUCUAUCCCGGAGGCUCCUGGUUUACCAGCCACAGCCACGCUCUCUGCUCCUGCUCCCAGGCAACAUUCAGAUCUUCAGUGUUUCUUCACUGAGAUUAUUCCCCAGAGGAAGCAGCUUGCCACCUGUACCUCAGUUUACCCGUGUUCGCCUAAAAAAAACAAGAAAAUCAGCCCGCUUCCUUCUUAACGGAGCCUGAGACAAAGACAAGUCAGAAGAUGGGCCUGUGUUCCUGCCUCUCUCCAGCAGCCCAGGCUCAGCGAAAACAGCUUCUCUUGCGAGCUGAAACUUACCCAAAUGAACCAGGAAUAAAAACUUUUAGAAGCAAACGUAA